ensembl:lncRNA novel transcript
AGCCCCGGCGUGGGGGCCCCCUGGCUGGUUGGGCAGCUCCCGGGGCUGAGCCUCGACACUCCAGUCCUGUGAUCUGUCAUUGACAAAGGCUGUUUUUGUCUACCUGGUCCGAGGAGGUGCAAGUCACAUCAGACAGGAGGGAAGAGGAGAAGGGCAAGUGGAGCGUACCCAUUCAUUUAAGGGUACACUGGGAAGAAAAUACUAAUGAGAAGGAGAAUAUUACAAUGAAAGGAAGCAGGAGAGCAAAUAAGAGAUUCGACCUACACAUGGUUUUGAUUCUGCGUGAGGCCGGUCAUACCCAGAUGAAAAGCUAGACAUCCAGCUACGUACAUCCCUGGAGAUACCCAGACGAUGGAAUGGAAUGUUCACUGUGGCUCUAAGUCAGAGCAUCUCAUUUAAGCUUUAUGGACAGUCUGCGCAGGAUGUGUCUGUGUGGGGACUUCUCCUGUGCAUCAUGGGAGGUUUAGCAGCAUCCUUGGCCUCACUCGCCAGAUGCCAAUAGCAUCCCCCUCUCCUAGUUGUGACAAUUGCAAACAUAUCCAGACAUUGCCAAAUGUCCUCUGGGGGGCAAAGUUGCCACAGCUGGGAGCCACUGCUCUGCAGGUUUGGACGCUGUGCCUGCAAUUCCAUGCAGCAUCACGGGCUAUUGAUCAUGUGUCAGACGGAGCUUAAAUUGGUCGAUCGCAUCCUCAAGUAGCCACUCCAGAGCGUGAUUAUCUGACACCUGUAAUUUACCAUCCUGGUUACAUGGGGGGCAAACGUGGAAUUAUGCACAUCAGCGGGCCCAGGGCCUGUUUUCCAUGGACUUAGUGUUCCUGCUGAGCAUGGCCUCGGUCUCCCCGAGUUGUUAAAGACAUUGACGCCUCAGAACUGACUCUGCCUCCACUUAAUCAGCUCACCAGAAAAUUACAAUAAAAAUCAUCUGCCACUUAUGAAA